UACGGAGGGUGCGAGCGUUAAUCGGAAUUACUGGGCGUAAAGCGCGCGUAGGCGGUUGACUAAGUCUGCUGUGAAAGCCCUGGGCUUAACCUGGGAACGGCAGUGGAUACUGGUCGGCUAGAGUAUGGUAGAGGAGAGUGGAAUUUCCGGUGUAGCAGUGAAAUGCGUAGAGAUCGGAAGGAACACCAGUGGCGAAGGCGGCUCUCUGGACCAAUACUGACGCUGAGGUGCGAAAGCGUGGGGAGCAAACAGG
rnacentral:rRNA from 1 species